rnacentral:lncRNA from 1 species
AUAAAUCAUAAUAAUUUGAAGUGGUACUUGACAAACAAUAAAGAAGUUUGCUUACCCAAUCUGCAAUGCUAGCUCUCAAUAGCAUUUAGGAGUAUAAUACAAAACAAAGAACCAGACCAUGACAAAUUGACUGCACAAAUAAUCAAAUAGUCCACUAAAAGCAUAAUAGAUAGUGCACAGUGCCACAACUUCACCUUAUGCAUGGACUCAAUUACGCAUGCAUGGCUCAGUUUAAACAUAUCUUCAAAUAUUUGUGACAAGACUAACUCUAACAGUCACCCUCUUAAUCUUGUUAUUGUUUGAUUAUCUCCUCUCUCUGGAUCUUAGCAUUCCCGAUUCGUUGUCAAUGAAACUAGCAUGCCCCUUUCCUACCUUCUUCAGGUUGCAACACUUCUAAAUGAAGUCUAUGUAGUCCUGGCGGUUAUAGCAGCACGCUUGCCUUGUCGAAGGUGCAAUUUUCUUGUUGGGGUCAUGUCCGCGUAUUCCUAUCUCUGCCUUGGAACCUCACUUGGCACAUGCUGGCGAUAGGUGCUCACCUUACUCCUUAUUGGGUUUUCCUUGAACGCCUUUAGCUGCCAAAUACUUAUUUGCGCAAUAUCACACCGAAGUCCCUGGAUUGCUUGAGGUGUAGAGAAUUUGCACUAGCAUUGAUGUCAAGGCUUGCAACAUAUUAUUGUUGAAUUGGGGGAGGGGUACUUUCAGACGGGGUUCUUUCUGUGUCUGGUGGCUCGCACAACGACUCACUUGUGUGGCGGCUCACACAUGAACAGGAGGACUGGAUGCCCCCUUCUAGACCAGCCUGCCCACAUGGGCUUGGGCCCUAAGUGACAAAGCUAGAUGGGCUUGGACCCUUACCCGUUCAGCACUCCCCCUCAAGAUGGGUGGUAGAUAUCUAUCAUUCUCAUCUUGUCACAUGCCAAGUUACAGUCCUUUGUUCCCAGUCCCUUUGUCAGGAGCUGACAUGAGUAAGGCUGAUGGUCCGAGCAUCAAAUUUCUCUUUAAUGAAGAAGCGGUCAAUUUCCGCAUGUUUUGUCCUAUCAUGUUGAACUGGCUUAUUAGCAAUGGCUAUAGCCGACUGAUUGUCACACCACGCCCUCAAGGGUCCCUUCCUUAGAAGUUUCGACUAGCUUAGUAGGUACUUCACCCAAAGCAUCUCACUCAACCCUUGAGAUAAUGCUCUAUACUCAGCUUUUGCUGUUGAUCUAGGCACACCAUUCUGUUUCUUGCUUCUCCAUGACACCAAAUUUCCUCCCACAAACACACAGUAGCCAGAAGUUGAUCUUCUAUUAGCUUGACAACUGGCCUAGUCAGAGUCACUAUAGCCAUCCACCUCAAGACGUUCACCCUUCCCAAACCACAACCCUUUACCCGGAGUCCCUUUCAAGUAUCUGAGGAUUCUAUGCACAAUAUCAAGAUGCCCACUUCUUGGUUCAUGCAUGUAUCUGCUCACCACUGCCACGACAUACGUAAUGUCAGGCCUGGUAUGACACAAGUACAAUAACCUCCCAACCAAUUUCUGAUAAUCUUCCUUAUUCACUAGCUCUCCUGAUUGUGCCGUCACUUGAUGAUUUUGUUCAAUCGUAGGGGCAGCACGACAUCCCAUCAUGCCCAUGUCACUCAAGAGAUCCAAGAUGUAUUUCCGUUGGCACAUAGAGAUUCCCUCCUCUGUCCGAGCCACUUCAAUGCUAAGGAACUAUUUUAGGUUGCCCAAAUCCUUUACCUCAAACUUCUUGCUCAGACAACCCUUCAAUCUCUGUAUUUCCUCCUUAUCAUCUCCAGUGAUGAUAAUAUCAUCCACACAAACAACAAUAAUGGUGAAAUUUUGAUCAGGGUGCCCGUAGAACAUCAUGUGGUCACCGUUACACUAACCUUACCGCAUACCAUGGACACCAUGCCCGAACCUAUCAAACCAUGCCCUCGGUGAUUGCUUCAGUCCAUACAAGGAUUUCUUCAGCCUGCAUACAUCCCCGUGGUCUCCGAAGUACCAAAACCUGGUGGUAUCUCCAUGUACACUUCUUUCUGCAACUCACCAUGCAAGAAGGCAUUCUUGACAUCCAAUUGCUGCAACUUCCACCUAAAGUUUGCAGCACAGGAGACCAAUAUCCUUACCAUGUUCAUCUUUGCCAAGGGAGCAAACGUCUCAUCAUAGUCAAUUCCAUAAGUUUGACUAUAUCCUCUGGUGAUCAAUCCGGCCUUAUACCAUUCCACCUUCCCUUCGGGGUUCUGCUUCACUGUAUAGAUCCACUUACAACUCACUGCUUUCUUUUCCGCGGGCAGCGUGGUUAGCACCCACGUCUUGUUUUUUCUCGGUGCUUCCAACUUCUAUCCUCGCUUCUCGCCACUUCGGAUCUUGCUUUGCAGCCUUCCAAUCCUUUGGGAUUGAUACAGUUUGAAGAGAGGCAACGAACACUCUAUAGGAAGGAGACAAAGCCUCGUAAGACACAUAAUUUUGAAUGUCAUGAUUAUCAAAAAACUCUGGCGGUAAAGCCUCUGUGUUGCUUCACGUCUCCCUUUCGCAACGCAAUAGACAGUUCCACUGCAUCAGAUGAGCUUGCACCAUUGCCUUGAUGCCCCCCACCUCUUGCACUGACUGCUCCCUUUGCACUUGUGGCUGCCGCCGAGAAUAUACCAGAUGAGUGUCAGAUGAGCCAUGCACUUGUGGCAUCUGUAGUUGUCGCCGAGAGUACAAUAGGGGUAUCUUCUGCCACCGAUCUCGAACAGGGAGUUGGAGAUUACCAAUCUGAAUGGAGCCCGCUGUUGGCUGGACCUGAACCUGCACAUCACCAUCAGUGGGAGUACCAACCAUAAUUGUACCCACAAUUGGUUGGACUUGAACCUGCACAUCAUCAUCAGUGUUGGUGUCCACAAAAUCCCCCCGGGCGUGAGAUACAACCUUCUCCCCCUCUUGACCAUCCUGCACAGAGUGUAAAUUGUCAAGCCCUUGAAACAACCCACUUAGAUAUGUGGGCUCACCAUAGAAUGGCUUAGACUCCCUAAAGGUGACAUUCAUAUUGACAAACCUGUGUUUCUUAGAGGGACACCAUCAUGUAUACCCCUGCUGACUAGAAGAAUAGCCUAGAAAGAUACACUUCACUUCUUGCGGAACAAGUUUCCAAUAGAAGAACGAUGAUCACGACCAAGACAAGUACUGCCAAACAACUUUGGGGGAAUGACAAACUUAGAUUCUGCAUAUACUAGCUCACAUUGAGAUUUCAUGCCUAGUAUUCUUGAUGGUGUCCGGUUGAUCAGGUAUGUGGCCGUCAUAACUGCUUCACUCCACAAGAACUUGGGCACAUUCAUGGUAAACAUCAAUGAUCGAGCAACCUCAAGAAUAUGUUGGUUCUUCCUUUCUGCCACUCCAUUCCGAGGAGGGGUGUCGGGGAAUGAAGUUUGAUGAUGAAUACUUUGAUCAGACAAGAAGGCCCCAAAGGUGUUAUUCACAUACUCUGUACCAUUGUCAGUCCUGAUCACCUGCACCUGAAACUGAUUCUUCACGAAGGCAUGGAAAUUCUAAUAACAGCUAAACACCUCAUCUUUGUGACGCAUCAAAUAAAGCCAAGUCAUAUGAGAAUAGCAAUCGAUGAAUGUAACAAAGUACUUCAUUCCAUUCAUUGACACAAGUGGGCACAUCCAUACAUUUGAAUGAAUCAACGCAAAAGGGGAUAUGCUUCUAAGCCCCUUACUCACAUAUGAGUCCCUUGUGUGUUUGGCAUAUUCGCAAGCAUCACAUGUCAACUUGCCCUUGGCUAUCCCACACAUAACAUCCAGAAAGAUUCUACUCAUCUUAUCAAAAGAUACAUGCCCCAUCCUACAGUGAUGGAUCAUCGCCUCCUCCUUGUCCUCCAUGGUCGCGACACACACCAAGUCUGACUGCACCUUCUGGUCCAUGUACCAGAGCCCCCUACGUUGGUGCCCGUCCCAACCAUCUGCCUCGUUUGUCGCUCCUGAAUCACGCAACCGAAUUUGUCAAGGAUCACUCAACAAUCUAUUUGAUCAAUGAGAGCACUAGAAGAGACCAAAUUGACAGGAAAAGCUGGCACAUGUAAAAGUGAGAAUAGGGAGAUGGUCGGAGUGCAGUUUAGUGUACCAACCCCUAUGACAGGCUGUUUUGUGCCAUCAACCGUUUGUAUAGUGUCUGUGUGAGAAGGAGGAUGCUUAUUAUAAGACUCAAACACACUCAAACACGCAGGAUUUACUAGCAACAUGCUUAGAUGCUCUAGAGUCAAGAACCCACCCUGGACUAUGCUCAUGAGUAGCAAGAGAUGCUCUUUUCGGAUUACUUUCAUCAGGGGAGGCCUAGUGAGCAAAAUCUCCAUAGGCAGCAUCAUUGACAUCUUUGCCUUUUGACGUCCCAGUGUCUCCUGCAACGUCCAUGUGAGCCCUCUGACCCCCUUAGUGUCCUGGGUAGCCACCUCUCCCCUAGAAGCCUGACCCCUUGACGUCUCUGAGUAUCCUCCUCUGCCUCUAGCACUCCUACCUCUGCCAGUUCCCCUUUUGUUUUAUCCACUGCCUCUGCCACGAGUUGGACAUUCCGUCUUCCAGUGUCCUACCUCCCCACAGAUAUGACAUUUGUUGGGAUCUCCCCACUCCAUGCGCCCAGUGACUGCAAAUGUCGAAGCUGGCACAACCUUCAUGUCUGCAUGCUCAAGAGAUAGGCGUAGAGAUAGGCGUACCUCCUCUUGAGUCAUUGCUGCAAUAGCCUCGAGAAUGGUAGGCAUACUAGGUUGGUGUAGCAGGGAAGCCUUCCAGCCAUCAAAGCAACCUUUGAGGCCAGCCAAAAGUUUCAGGACACGCCUGCGUGCCAUCCACAUGUGCCCUGACUCGAUUGAAGCCGCAUCAUAGAGUUUCAGGGGAUCAUAGAUUCACAGUUAUCUUGGUCUGCCCACAGAGCCUGCAGUUUUGCCAUGUAUGUCAUCAUUGACAUGCUGUAGGAAUUGGGGGGGGGGGGAGGACUACCUCGUCCCGUCUGGUUGCUCGUGGAUGUGUGUGGCGGCUGGCUCUCAUGGGAGGACUGUGAGCACCUCCUUCUAGGUCAUCUCAAGGGCUUGGCCUUGUGGGCUUAAGUGAGAUGGGCAAGACAGCCCAUACCGGUUCAACACUCCCCUCAAGAUGGGUGGUAGAUAUCUAGCAUUCCCAUCUUGUCACAUGCCAAGUUAUGGUCCUUUGUUCCUAGUCCCUUUGUCAAACAAUCUGCAAACUGCUGCACAGAGCUGACAUGAGUAAGACCGAUGAUCCCAGCAUCAAGUUUCUCCUUAAUGAAGAAGCGAUCAAUUCCCACAUGUUUUGUCCUGUCAUGUUGAAUUGGAUUAUUAGCAAUGGCUAUAACGGACUGAUUAUUAGCAAUUGGAUUAUUAGAAGUUUCAACUCGCUCAAUACGUACUUCACCCAGAGCAUCUCACACAACCCUUGAGAUAAAGCUCUAUACUCAGCUUCUGCUGUUGAUCUAGAUACACCAGGUUGUUUCUUGCUUCUCCAUGACACCAAAUUUCCUCUCACAAGCACACAGUAGCCAGAAGUUGAUCUUCUAUCAUCUUGACAUCUAGCCCACUCAGAGUCACUAUAGCCAUCCACCUCAAGGUGUCCACUCUUCCCAAAUCACAACCCUUUACCCGGAGUCCCCUUCAAGUAUCUCAGGAUUCUGUGCACAAUAUUAAGAUGCCCACUCCUUGGUUCAUGCAUGUAUCUGCUUACCACCCCCACAACAUAGGUAAUGUCAGGCCUGGUAUGACACAAGUACAAUAAUCUUCCAACCAAUUUCUGAUAAUAUUCCUUAUUCACUAGAUCUCCUGAUUGUGCUGUCACUUGAUGAUUUUGUUCAAUCGGAGUAGGGGCAACACGACAUCCCAUCAUGCCCAUGUCACUCAAGAGAUCGAAGGUAUAUUUUUGUUGGCACAUAGAGAUUCCCUUCUCUGUCCGAGCCACUUCAAUGCCAAGGAAGUAUUUUAGGUUGCCUAAAUCCUUUACCUCAUAAUAAUGUCAUCUACAUAAACAACAAGAUUGGUGAUUUUUCGAUCAGAGUGUUUGUAGAACAUCGUGUGGUCACCGUUACACUGACCAUACCGCAUACCACGGAUAGCACGUCUGUACCUAUCAAACCAUGCCCGCGGUGAUUGCUUCAAUCCAUACAAGGAUUUGUUUAGCCUGCAUACCUUCCCCGUGGUCUCUGAAGUACCAAACCUGGUCGUAUCUCCAUGUACACUUCUUCCUGCAACUCACCAUGUAAGAAGGCAUUCUUGACAUCUAAUUGAUGCAACUUCCACCCAAAGUUUCCAGCACAAGAGACCAAUAUCCUAACCGUUUUCAUCUUUGUCACGGGCGCAAACGUCUCAUCAUAGUCAAUUCCAUAAGUUUGACUAUAUCCUCUGGCGACCAAUCUGGCCUUAUACCGUUCCACCUUACCCUCAGGAUUCUGCUUCACUGUAUAGAUCCACUUACAACUCAUUGCUUUCUUUUCUGCCGGCAAUGUGGUUAGCACCCAUGUCUUGUUUUUCCUCAGUGCUUCCAACUCUUCUAUCAUCGCUUCGCGUCACUUCAGAUCUUGCUUUGCAGCCUUCCAUUCCUUUGGGAUUGACACCGUUUGAAGGGAGGCAACAAACGCCUUAUAUGACGGCGACAAAUCCUUAUGACACAAAAUUGCCAAUAUCAAGGUCAUCACAAGCAUCAUCCUUUGGUAGAGCCUUCCUUGCUACUUCACCCUUGUUGCUUCAUGUGUAG